rnacentral:rRNA from 1 species
GUGUCAGCCGCCGCGGUAAUACGAAGGGGGCUAGCGUUGCUCGGAAUUACUGGGCGUAAAGGGCGCGUAGGCGGCGCAGUUAGUCAGGCGUGAAAUUCCUGGGCUUAACCUGGGGACUGCGCUUGAUACGGCUGUGCUAGAGGGUGGAAGAGGCUCGCGGAAUUCCCAGUGUAGAGGUGAAAUUCGUAGAUAUUGGGAAGAACACCGGUGGCGAAGGCGGCGAGCUGGUCCAUUACUGACGCUGAGGCGCGACAGCGUGGGGAGCAAACAGGAUUAGAAACCCCCGUAGUCC